rnacentral:rRNA from 1 species
UACAGGGGGGGGCAAGCGUUGUUCGGAAUUACUGGGCGUAAAGGGCGCGUAGGCGGCCUACUAAGUCAGACGUGAAAUCCCCCGGCUUAACCUGGGAACUGCGUCUGAUACUGGAAGGCUUGAGGAUGGGAGAGGGAUGUAGAAUUCCAGGUGUAGCGGUGAAAUGCGUAGAUAUCUGGAGGAAUACCGGUGGCGAAGGCGGCAUCCUGGACCAUUACUGACGCUGAGGCGCGAAAGCUAGGGGAGCAAACGGG